UAAAAAGAGUAUAAAAACACAUUUUUUGGUUUGUAGUCCAAAGCAAUGAUGAAUUGUCAGUAACCUUCCCCUCCUUGGGUCGUCCAUUACUCUUUUAAACAAU
rnacentral:ncRNA from 1 species